ensembl:lncRNA
CAGGUGUCUGCUCAGGAGGGACAUCAGAUAGCACUGGCUCAGUGCUCCCUCUUCCUCUGCGAGCCAUAGCUGCUGACUGGACAGUUCUGGUGGGUCCGAGGACCCUGAAGUACAAGAGGGCUCAGUUUGAAGAGAUCCAGACUCUUAAUGUCUGCAGGACACAACAAUAUUGUGCUGUAAGGGCCAGUGCAGUGGCCUGGCUCAUCCUUGAAAGCAGGCUUGACACUCACCUCUGCAUCUCAGCUGACAGCCACGGAGCAGUGCUUGGAGAGAGGACGGUGCGCUAGCUUGCGGGGCGCGUGCUGGUCUGGCCACUACCAGCAGAGGGCAGUAGUCGCCGCGGCACAGGCGGGCUGGAGGGAGCUGACCUUUCCUUGAC